UACGAAUGGAGCGAGCGUUGUUCGGAAUCACUGGGCGUAAAGAGUAUGUAGGCGGAUUUGCAAGUCAGAAGUGAAAUCCCAGGGCUCAACCCUGGAAUUGCUUUUGAAACUGCAAAUCUAGUGUCCCGGAGGGGUUGACGGAAUUCCUAGUGUAGAGGUGAAAUUCGCAGAUAUUAGGAGGAACACCAGUGGCGUAGGCGGUCAACUGGACGGGUACAGACGCUGAGAUACGAAAGCAUGGGGAGCAAACAGG
rnacentral:rRNA from 1 species